AAAGUACUCCCUCCGUCCCAACAUUCUUGUCUUAGAUUUGUCUAGAUACGGAAGUAUCAAGUCACAUUUUAGUAUUAGAUACAUCCGUAUCUAGACAAAUAUAAGACAAGAAAUUUGGGACAGAGGGAGUAGUUG
rnacentral:pre_miRNA from 1 species